UGGGGAAUAUUGCACAAUGGGCGCAAGCCUGAUGCAGCCAUGCCGCGUGUGUGAAGAAGGCCUUCGGGUUGUAAAGCACUUUCAGCGAGGAGGAAGGCGUUAAGGUUAAUAACCUUGGCGAUUGACGUUACUCGCAGAAGAAGCACCGGCUAACUCCGUGCCAGCAGCCGCGGUAAUACGGAGGGUGCAAGCGUUAAUCGGAAUUACUGGGCGUAAAGCGCACGCAGGCGGUUUGUUAAGUCAGAUGUGAAAUCCCCGAGCUUAACUUGGGAACUGCAUUUGAAACUGGCAAGCUAGAGUCUUGUAGAGGGGGGUAGAAUUCCAGGUGUAGCGGUGAAAUGCGUAGAGAUCUGGAGGAAUACCGGUGGCGAAGGCGGCCCCCCUGGACAAAGACUGACGCUCAGGUGCGAAAGCGUGGGGCAGCAAACAGGAUUAGAUACCCUGGUAGUCCAGCGCUGUAAACGAUGUCGAUUUGGAGGUUGUGGGCUUGACCCGUGGCUUCCGGAGCUAACG
rnacentral:rRNA from 1 species